rnacentral:rRNA from 1 species
GACGAACGCUGGCGGCGUGCUUAACACAUGCAAGUCGAACGGAAAGGCCCUGCUUGCAGGGUACUCGAGUGGCGAACGGGUGAGUAACACGUGGGUGAUCUGCCCUGCACUUCGGGAUAAGCCUGGGAAACUGGGUCUAAUACCGGAUAGGAGCCAUUUUUAGUGUGAUGGUUGGAAAGUUUUUUCGGUGUAGGAUGAGCUCGCGGCCUAUCAGCUUGUUGGUGGGGUAGUGGCCUACCAAGGCGGCGACGGGUAGCCGGCCUGAGAGGGUGGACGGCCACAUUGGGACUGAGAUACGGCCCAGGCUCCUACGGGGGGCAGCAGUGGGGAAUAUUGCACAAUGGGCGCAAGCCUGAUGCAGCGACGCCGCGUGGGGGAUGACGGCCUUCGGGUUGUAAACUCCUUUCGCUAGGGACGAAGCUUUUUGUGACGGUACCUAGAUAAGAAGCACCGGCUAACUACGUG